UGAGGAAUAUUGGGCAAUGCCCGCAAGGGUGACCCAGCAACGCCGCGUGGAGGAUGAAUGUCGUAAGAUUGUAAACUCCUGUUAGAGGGGAAGAAUAGUACCGGUUGGACCGGUAUAUGACUGUACCCUCAGAGAAAGCCCCGGCUAACUACGUGCCAGCAGCCGCGGUAAUACGUAGGGGGCAAGCGUUGUCCGGAUUUACUGGGUGUAAAGGGCGCGCAGGCGGGAUAAAAAGUCAGUGGUGAAAUCCUACAGCUUAACUGUAGAACUGCCUUGGGUACUUUUAUUCUUGAGUUCGGGAGGGAGAGACGGAAUUCCAGGUGUAGUGGUGAAAUACGGAGAUAUCUGGGAGAACACCAGUUGCGAAGGCGGUCUCUUGGUCCGACACUGACGCUG
rnacentral:rRNA from 1 species